rnacentral:rRNA from 1 species
AGCUCCAAUAGCGUAUAUUAAAGUUGUUGCAGUUAAAAAGCUCGUAGUUGGAUUUCUGGCAGGAGCGACCGGUCACACACUCUGUGUGUGAACUUGUGUUGUCUCUGGCCAUCCUUGGGGAGAUCCUGUUUGGCAUUAAGUUGUCGGGCAGGGGACAUCCAUCGUUUACUGUGAAAAAAUUAGAGUGUUUAAAGCAGGCUUAUGCCGUUGAAUAUAUUAGCAUGGAAUAAUAAGAUAGGACUUCGGAACUAUUUUGUUGGUUUGCGUUACGAAGUAAUGAUUAAUAGGGACAGUUGGGGGUAUUCGUAUUUCGUUGUCAGAGGUGAAAUUCUUGGAUUUCCGAAAGACGAACUACUGCGAAAGCAUUUACCAAGGAUGUUUUCAUUA